ACUUCUUUUCCUCUUUCAGGUUCUGCCCUGAUGUUUCCUGGAAUAAUGCUGAGGACUGCCUUUCGGGUAGCCGCCCUAUUCAGUUCACUUCAUCUCGGAAAUACCUGACCCCUGCCUUGGAUCCAGCGGCCCUCCUGAGAGCUGAGGAAGGAGGAAAUCCUAUGUGUCUGCUCCCGGAGCUGCCACAACCCAUCUUCCCACAACUCGGAACUUGGAAAAAGGAACCCAGGACACGACUUUGCUUUUCUUUUGGACCUAGUUGGUGAUUAUACUCUGUCUCCCAUGGAGACCACGUCUUGCAUCCUUCCUUCUAUAUGGGAUUUAGGAUAGAAAUUAAAAAGAAAACAUAUUAUUUUGAGUCUUGAUUUGGAGAAAGGUAGUAUUCAGGAGGAAGUAGGCUAUGAUACACAUAGAAAAUUUGAGGACAGUGUUACUUAACAAGGACAUUUCUGUCUCUGCAGAAGUCACAGCUUGGAGGAAACCAGUUUGCACUAUUUGAUGAGGAAUUUGGCCACCAAACCACUGAUACUUUCCCAAAGAUACAAGUUAACAGGAUAUGCUUCUGGCCUGUUUCUGGAUUCUAAGGGUAGAACCAGCAUAAAACUAGUCAGUCCAAGUAUUUCUAAAGAUCCACAGACACAGUUCUCCUGGAUUUGGGAAGCCUAGAGAUAUUAGCACAAUAAUUAAGGCCCAACAACUUUUAAAAGCCUUUCCACUGCACAGUGAAAGAAAACCACAAACUCCUUGUUUAAUAAGUGGGAUCACGUGCUUUUAACACGAGGAAAAGGUCAAUCUGAAGCAACUGAUAU
rnacentral:lncRNA from 1 species